CUUCUUGAUCCUAUGUGUUGUAUUGAGUGUUGGUCACUGGUCUUUGGGAAGCUUGGACAGAAGUGGGGCAGCCAUGGAGCUGCUGACUGGGACUGGCCUGUGGCCCGUGGUCAUAGUCACAGUCAUCUUCAUAUUACUGGUGGACAUGUUGCACCGGUGCCAGCGCUGGACUUCUUGCUGCCCACCAGACCCUGUGCCAUGGCCUGUGCUGGGUAACCUGCUGCAGGUGGACCUGGAUAACAUGCCAUAUAACUUGUACAAGCUUCACAACCGCUAUGGUGACGUGUUCAGCCUGCAGAUGGGCUGGAACCACAUGGCCGUGAUCAACGGACUGAAGGUGAUACAGGAAGUGUUGGUGACCUGUGGAGAGGACACUGCUGACCGCCCUGAAAUGCCCAUCUUUCCACACCUAGGCUAUGGGCAAAAAGCUAAAGGCAAAGGCUGUGUGGGGGCAGAGAUGGCAUCAAAGCCAGACAAGGGGGGACAGUGAGCAAAGGAAGGUCAGAUCAUGAUGCAGGUGGUAAUGUAGUUAAGCAUUGCAGCAGAAAGUCACAGAAAUCCAUUGUGGAGCCUCCUGAGCAUGGUGGAGGGUGGUAGAGACAUGUACUGGAGGAAGGGUGAGGUAUGGAGGACACCGACAAAGAAGAGAAAUGAAGGUGGGAGGGGGCACCAAAGCCAGGUGUCCUUGGUUUUACACAGAUGUGUCUGCAGGUGUGGUCCUUGCUCCUUAUGGGCCUGAGUGGAAAGAGCAGAGGUGAUUCUCUGCGUCGACCCUGUGCAACUUCAGCCUGGGCAAGAAAUCACUGGAGCAGUGGGUGAUGGAAGAGGUUGGACACCUCUUUGAUGUCUUCACUGCCCAUGCUGAGGAGGCUGUAGACAAGAGAUUUGGAAAGAACACAUCUAGAAGUGUCCACCACAGUAAUAGGAGCCUGGAGAUUGACAUACAGCAAAAGGAAGUGAGAAGCUGACCAAGGUCAGGGCUUCUAGAAGCUGAGACCCUGGCCCUCUGCCCACAUGGAACAUCUGUGAGAUUUUCCAGGGUUGGCUGACAAAGUCUUCCCUGGGCAAAAGACAUUUCUCAUAAUGGUGGAUAAGCUGGUGACUGAGCACAAGAGGACCUGGAACUCGGACCAGCCGCCUCGAGACCUGACUGAUGCCUUUAUGGCUGAGAUGGAGAAGGCAAAGGGAAACCCUGAGAGUAGCUUCAAUGAUGCAAAUCUAUGUCUGGUUGUCCUUGACCUGCUGGGUGCUGCAACUGUGACCACCUCAACCACACUGUCCUGGGCCCUGCUGCUUAUGAUCCUGCAUCCGGAUGUGCAGUGUGAGCCUGGCUGGGGCUGUCAAGAAAGGAGGAGGAGGGUAGAGGCAAACUCCUUAAACUUACUUGGGACACUUGUAGAUCCCAGCAUUGAGUUAACCCAGACUGCAGUAAGUAUGGUUGCCUUAUUUCUCCCAUGGACCCAGCCCUUAACAGAGAGGUAGUGGAUGGACAAGGGGCACCCACUGAAGCAUCUUAACUGAUGGGAAAAUGUCCUUCCAGGCCAAGUACAACAGGAAAUCGAUGAGGUCAUUUGGUAUGUGUGGCUUCCAGAGAUGGCAGACCAGGUCUGCAUGCCCUUCACCAAUGCUGUCAUUCAUGAGGUACAGUGCUUACAGUUACUGGGAUAUCAUCCCAAUAACUUUGCCACACAGGACUUCUCGUGACAUUGAAGUGUGGGGCUUUCUUAUCCCUAAGGUAGGUCUGGGUCUCUCCAGUGUCUAGUCAGUGUUGCCAGCUACCCGCUGACUUGAUCUGCCCAGUUAAGAAGGACUAGAUUACAGGCAUUCCAAUUCUCAACUCAAGGGAACCAACAUCCCCUGGGUAAAUAUGGGAAUAGAAACAAGAGCAAUAACUGCUUUAGAAUCCCUACCUAGAAAUGCAGGCAAGGUAAAAUAUGGCAGGAGUGGUUGUAACAGCCACUACCUACAAAUACAGGUCACAGUGUGUACAUCUGUCCCAUCACAUUUCCAUGUCACAGUAUUAAUGAAAUCUGUGAAGCUUCUGUGGUUAGUUUAUAUGACAGCAUCCAGUGUGUGUGUGGUACAGGCUGUGCCUGUGAAUGUCGUGACUAGUAAGGGUCUAGUAAAACUCACCCUGUUCAUGUUCACACAAUGUGCUUCAUGCCAGGGCAUGACUCUCAUCUCCAACCUGUUCCGUGCUGAAGGAUGAGACUGUCUGGGAGAAGCCCCUUCGCUUCCAUCCUGAACACUUCCUGGAUGCCCAGGGCCACUUUGUGAAGCCUGAGGCCUUCAUGCCAUUCUCAGCAGGUGCCUCUAGGGUGCCUUCCUGCCUAUCUUUCCCUAGGGUGCCUUGGAGGGUGGAGCACCAAUCAGGUCCCAGACUGAGCCCUCUUCUACACAUAGGCCACAGAUCAUGCCUGGGGGAGCCCCUGGCCCUCAUGGAGCUCUUCCUCUUCUUCACCUGCCUCCUGCAGCGCUUUAGCUUCUCAAUGCCAGCUGGACAAUCCCUUCCCAGUGAUUAUGGCAUCUAUACAAUGCCAGUUACUCCAGCACCUACCAGCUCUGUGCAGUGGUUUGCUAGCAGGGGCAGUGGCUCCAGCCAUCAUCACAGAUUGUUCUGACUGAUGUCCAAUAAACAAGUUUUGUGUCUGAAUCUCA
rnacentral:lncRNA from 1 species